UUGCCUCUUACAUAAUGGAUCUUGAUUAUGAAGAUGAAGAGGAGCUAAACAUUCCAAUAAUCAAGGAAAAUGGCAAAUGUGAUGGGAAGGAGGACCAGAGAAGUGAAGAAAGGAAGUUGUUGCAGCUUCAAAAUCAAGUCUUGGGCUUGAAAAAAGUAAGGAUGAGUAUGAGUCUGAUGAUUCUGAUGAGGGUGAGUGAUUAUCUCCUGAAGAAUCUUUUUUUCCUAGUGGGUUUUUUCUGGCAGUGUUGGGGUCGUUUGAAUUAUGGAUUGUUUGGAUCAUGAACAUAUCUAAUUAGGCAAAGGUGAUGGGAAGGAGGACCAGAGAAGUGAAGAGAAGGCAGUUGCUGCAGCUUCAAAAUCAAGUCUUGGGCUU